UUUUUUUGAAACUUAGGAAUCCUCACUCUCCCCGACUUGUUCUUUCUUAAUGCCUCACAAAUUAACAGUAGCACUAGCGCAUGAUGCAGCAUCCAGAUCUGCUUGAUAGCAUCCCAGAUUCAGCAAAUGUUGCAUCACUAACAACUACUGGGGGAGAAACAGAUCACGAACAAUGCACGGAUCAGUAAGCCGGCCAGCUGCGGGUAGCAAUGCCGGCGGGGAUCUGAAUGAUCUCAUCCUGAUCUAGGGGCACUUGGGCCCUCCUUCCUUGGUCUUCCAGUUGUUGUAGCAGGGGCAGGCGCCCUUGUUGCCGUAGAACCCGGGGGGCACGCAGAGGCAGGUGGCGCAGCACUUGUUGCAGAAGGUGAUGCAGGCCUUGUGGUACUGCGUCUGGGAGCACCGCGACGCGCACUUGGACGAGCACUCCCACGGCUUCAGGUUGCCCCUGCCGUAGCCGUUCCCGUUGCCGCUGCCACCGCCGUUGCCGUUGCCGUUGCCUCUGCCAUUGCCGCCGGCCUCCACCUCCUGCUGGACAAAACAGAAGACAGAGAAUUGAAUGAGCACAUAGCGCACACGGGAAAACGGCUGGAACUUGAAGGCUGAAAGGAUGAGGCCAGUGAGCUUACCACGGGGAAGGCGACGCCGAGGAGCAGAAGCACGAGCAUCAGGAAGGAGACGGCCUUGGCAGCCAUCGCUACUGCCCUGCCCAGCUUCUUCUCGGCACUUUUCCCUGUGCUAGAGAGGGAGAGGUGAAGCUGUUGAAGAAGGGGCGAG
rnacentral:lncRNA from 1 species